rnacentral:rRNA from 1 species
GAUUGCGAUCAUAGCAGCACUAAUGCACCAGAUCCCAUUAGAACACCGUAGUUAAGAUUCUUGGGCGAGAUUAGUACUAGGAUGGGUGACCUGCUCUGAAGUCCUCAUGUUGCACCCC